rnacentral:piRNA from 1 species
UGAACAGUGUCCUCCAUGGUUACCCAUC